UGAGUGCGAGCUGCUACGGCAGCGAAGUUGGUGAUGUCAUGCUUCCAAGAAAAGCCCUAUACCCGUUAAGGCAUCAUGGCCUGUACCCGAAACCGACACAGGUGGGGUGGUAGAGAAUACCGAGGGGCGCGAGGUAACUCUCUCUAAGGAACUCGGCAAAAUGGCCCCGUAACUUCGGGAGAAGGGGUGCCACCGCAAGGUGGUCGCAGUGAAGAGGCCCAGGCGACUGUUUACCAAAAACACAGGUCUCCGCUAAGUCGCAAGACGAUGUAUGGGGGCUGACGCCUGCCCAGUGCCGGAAGGUUAAGGAAGCUGGUCAGCGCAAGCGAAGCUAGCGACUGAAGCCCCGGUGAACGGCGGCCGUAACUAUAACGGUCCUAAGGUAGCGAAAUUCCUUGUCGGGUAAGUUCCGACCCGCACGAAAGGCGUAACGAUCUGGGCGCUGUCUCGGAGAGAGGCUCGGCGAAAUAGAAUUGUCUGUGAAGAUGCGGACUACGUGCACCCGGACAGAAAGACCCUAUGAAGCUUUACUGUAGCUUGGUAUUGUGCCCGGGCUCGCAAUGCGCAGGAUAGGUGGGAGGCUUUGAUCAUCGGCUUGCGGGUCGAUGUGAGCCAACGGUGAGAUACCACUCUUUGCGAGCUAGGGUUCUAACGGCCACCCGUCAUCCGGGGGCCGGACAGUACCUGGUGGGCAGUUUGACUGGGGCGGUCGCCUCCUAAAAGGUAACGGAGGCGCGCAAAGGUUUGCUCAGGCUGGUUGGAAAUCAGCCGACGAGUGUAAAAGCAGAAGCAAGCUUGACUGUGAGACCAACAAGUCGAACAGGGAGGAAACUCGGCUUUAGUGAUCCGACGGUUCUGAGUGGAAGGGCCGUCGCUCAACGGAUAAAAGUUACUCUAGGAUAACAGGCUGAUCUCCCCCAAGAGUUCACAUCGACGGGGAGGUUUGGCACCUCGAUGUCGGCUCAUCGCAACCUGGGGCUGAAGUCGGUCCCAAGGGUUGGGCUGUUCGCCCAUUAAAGCGGUACGCGAGCUGGGUUCAGAACGUCGUGAGACAGUUCGGUCCAUAUCCGGUGCACGCGCAGGAAUAUUGAGAGGAUUUCUCCCUAGUACGAGAGGACCGGGAGGAACGCACCUCUGGUGUACCAGUUAUCGUGCCAACGGUAAACGCUGGGUAGCCAUGUGCGGAGUGGAUAACCGCUGAAAGCAUCUAAGUGGGAAGCCCACCUCAAGAUGAGUAUUCCCAUGGCGUAAGCCAGUAAGGUCACGGGAAGAACACCCGUUGAUAGGCUCUAUGUGGAAGCGCAGUAAUGCGUGAAGCAGAGGAGUACUAAUAGACCGAGGGCUU
rnacentral:rRNA from 1 species